CUGCAAGUGAUGAUGAGAUGCAGAUCCUUGCAGAGUGCCUGAUGGUUAAACAUUUGUGGAAGGCUUGUUUUUCCGGAUAUGGCAGAAGUGUGAUGUUUGGGGACAGCUGGUGUCCUUAGACCUAAGCCAUCGUGUGUGUGUUCCAUAUAAGCCUACAGCCUGAGCCAGCUAGGAUGGCAGUGAAGCUGAACUUGAAGAGUAGAGUCUUGUUCCUAAUGAACUGAGAAGAGUAGGACUUGUCAAGUUCUGCACUCAAUUGGAAAUUUUACAUCCUCAGGCCCAGAUGGUCCCUGAUCUGAGAGAGGUGCUCACAGGAAGGAAGAAAGCUUUUAAUG